rnacentral:rRNA from 1 species
UACAGAGGGGGCAAGCGUUAUUCGGAAUUAUUGGGCGUAAAGGGCGCGUAGGCGGCUUUGCAAGUGACGGGUGAAAUCCCUCGGCUUAACCGAGGAACUGCCUGUCAAACUGCAUGGCUUGAGACCGGGAGAGGUGAGUGGAAUUCCCAGUGUAGCGGUGAAAUGCGCAGAUAUCGGGAGGAACACCGGUGGCGAAGGCGGUUCUCUGGGCCUUACCUGACGCUGAGGAGCGAAAGCGUGGGGAGCGAACAGG